GCUCACGAUAGUCGUAUAUUUGCUGAGGCCCUUCGUAGACAAGAGCUCAACUUUCCACAUCCACUCGGAAACAAAUAUUAUCUAGUUGAUGCAGGAUAUUCACACAUGAAUGGAUACAUGGCUCCAUACAAAGGAAAUAAUAAAUGUAGUAGAGCGCACAUUUGGCGUUUAGAAAGCAAGAUGGUCUAUUUUGAGAGACAUGUCAUACUAUCACAUUGACACGCAAAGGGACAUCGUACUUGCUACUAUGGCCAUUCACAAUUAUAUUAGAAAGAAAUGCAAUGUGGAUGAUGCAUUCCAAACAGUAAGAAUGAGAGCUAUAUUCCAUCGAUUGAUUCUAAUGAUAUUGGCACAACGUCAAGAGCUAACAAUGUAGAUGUCGAAGAUGUAGGAGAACAAAAUGAUGUCUAUUGGAUGGGGUUUCGUGAUAUGAUUGCUAGUGACAUUUCUAAUGCUUGACGCUUGUAUUAUAUGAAUAUUUUCCACUUCUUGUAUUUAUAGUGGAGUGCUUUCGGUUGUAUUAGCACUUUUAUUUUGUGUCAAAUUCUCCAUCUUUGAAAUAUGAAUUGUAUUACCCUUUUUUAAGUCAUGUUGAUCCUAACUUAUUAAAAAAAUUAUGCUCUUUA